rnacentral:lncRNA from 1 species
GCCGAGGUCCUCUUCUAGGAUUGGUUGUCCACUCAUAACCAUAAGAUAAUUAAAACGGGGGGGGGGCAGGGUAAAAAAAAAACCCUUUUAUCAGCCAUAGGUUAAUGCAAGUGUUUAACAGAUGCUUCGCUAUUAAAAUAUUUCCCCCCAAUACUGAAGAAUCUUAAACCAGCAACCCUAACAGAGAUUGCGAAGAUUUUCAAAGUGGGGCACCUCGAUUUCUCGAAUCUGUGGUGUGGCGAAUAUCCGUGUUCCUCCUGCUUAACUAGCCUGUUUGAAGGCACAGUUCAUUCUCGAGCAAUUCGUCACCUCCUGGGGGUCUUCUCUUCCGGUCUACAGGAGAGUGUGACUUCAGAAAGAACUUCGGAUUGGCCAAGGCAGGUCUGAUUCUAUUUAUUCUAAAGACAGAGUUGGAGAUGGGCUACCAUUGGUGUUGAUUGAGAUGACAAGCAGUCACCUGAGCCCAUACAGCUGGGUUCACAGAUGUGGCUACUCUUGCUAGCCAGCUCACACUGUGGAAAUUCUAGGGAACUGACUGCAGUCCUCAUGCUUGGAGUCAAACACUUUAACCACUGCACACGUUUAUGUAAUAGGAUUGACAUAUGAGAAUCAGAGAAAUGAAUGAAAGAUUAGAGUGGGAGAAAGUGCUUGCUGCCAAGCUUGAUGACCUAAAUUGAAUCCUGGAACCUACACAACAGAAAGAGAGAGCUGACUGCUGAAAGAUGCCCUCAGAUCUUCACAUAUGCACAGUGGCACCUAUCCAACCAUGCACAUAGUAUAUUAAAAAUUAUUUUUUAAAAAA